rnacentral:misc_RNA from 1 species
GAUGAAGAACGCAGCGAAAUGCGAAAAGUAAUGUGAAUUGCAGAAUUCAGUGAAUCAUCGAAUCUUUGAACGCACAUUGCGCCCGCCAGUAUUCUGGCGGGCAUGCCUGUCUGAGCGUCAUUUCAACCCUCAUGCCCCUAGGGCGUGGUGUUGGGGAUCGGCCAGCGCCCGCGAGGGACGGCCGGCCCCUAAAUCUAGUGGCGGACCCAUCGUGGCCUCCCCUGCGAAGUAGUGAUAUUCCGCAUAGGAGAGCGACGAGCCCCUGCCGUUAAACCCCCAACUUUCUAAGGUUGACCUCAGAUCAGGUAGGAAUACCCGCUGAACUUAAGCAUAUCAAUAAGCGGAGGA